rnacentral:rRNA from 1 species
UACGGAGGGUGCAAGCGUUAAUCGGAAUUACUGGGCGUAAAGGGCGCGUAGGCGGAUAUAUAAGUUGGAUGUGAAAUCCCUGGGCUUAACCUAGGAACUGCAUUCAAAACUGUAUAUCUAGAGUAAGAGAGAGGAGAGUGGAAUUUCCGGUGUAGCGGUGAAAUGCGUAGAGAUCGGAAGGAACACCAGUGGCGAAGGCGGCUCUCUGGCUUAUUACUGACGCUGAUGUGCGAAAGCGUGGGUAGCGAACAGG